CCCAGCCACCCCAAAUCUCCUCCCUCUUUUCCAGCCUGAGGCCAUCAUCCACCAGCAGCGUUUGAGCCAAGGCAAUCUUCCCUCACAGGUACUAAAUCCCAAGCAAUAGCCUCGGAGAUGCCUUAAAAUCAGAGGUUCGAGUGGGAUGAUGUUUGGAGAUUUCCAGGGAGCCAGCUGGAGGUGCAGAUGUGAUGGAAAACUCUCACAGUGAGAAGAACAUGAACUCACAGCCACCGAGGCCUGACGGGUUCCUGCAGUGAGAGCUCAGUGUGUGUGUGCAGAGAGAGAGGGGGAAGACAUGGGAAUGGGAAAACCAGAAACUCCCACAGACACUGAAAGAUUUGAUCUGCAGCCUCGGGAGAAGCUGGGAUUGAUGUACCAAUACAAGACACGGGCAUUACGCAGGAAAAGAAUAAAAUAAAAUAAAAUAA